AUGGCCGAAUGCUUCAAUAGGGUGCUCAAAGGUGCACGUGGAUUACCUGUGACGGCAAUAGUUCAAUACACAUUUGACAAGAUGAAUGCGUACUUUCUAAAGUACUCAAUGGAAACUGCUGCACAGAUAGCGGGUGAGAAGCCGCGCAAGUACAAGUACAAGUUCCCACCCAAGGUUGAUGAAUGGUUAGAAUUUCAAUCACGAAAGGUGGACUCAGAAGAAGCUAUAUUAUAUGACAAUGAAGAGUGGAAGUAUGAAGUGAAAGAGCCAGGAGGAACCACAAACGAUGGCCGGCAACAUGGAGGUCGGGCUUUCAAGGUGUCGUUAACACAAUGUGAUUGCUCUUGCGGGAGGCCAUUGUUGCUUCAUCUCCCAUGAUCACAUUUGUAUACCGCCGGUCGCGUUAGAAAUGUGGACAUCAAUCACCCACGCACCAUGAGGGAGUUGGGGUUCUCAAUCAUGACGGUCAAGAAAACAUGGGCUCCCCGCUUUCACCCAUACUUUGACCAAUCACAAUGGCCGGAGUACCAUGGAGUUCAACUAUGGCCGGAUCCGGAGUUGAAGGUUGUUAAACGUGGUAGACGUAAAACAAAGCGUUUUAGAGGCGACAUGGACGGAUGGGGCCAUGGUGGCCGCCGCAAAGCGGGAAACGAUCAAUUCCAAGAGCCUCGUGAGAGCUCCCGUUGUGGGGAAUGCAAAGGUCAUGGCCACAACAAAAGAAAAUAUACAAAACCAAGGAAAAGGUCCAAGAAAAAUGAUGCAAGCACUAGCCAACAAGGAGCUACACAAGGGAGCCAACCAAGUGGUAGCCAACAAGUGCCAAGCCAACCAAGAGGUAGCCAACAAGUGCGAAGGCAAUAA
rnacentral:rRNA from 1 species